GGAACGGGGUGUGGUCUUUAUGGACAGGCGUGCUGUUUGACCUUUCAAUGCCUGUCCAGCCCAUGCACGCAGUGGUGGCCGUGGCUGUCGCAAAAGACUUGACGCAGCCGCAGAUCGUGGCAGCCGGGGUGUGGCUGGGUCUUGCGUUUGCAGCCCUGGGCAGCGUGCCC
rnacentral:SRP_RNA from 1 species